GAAACCAACAGGGAUUACCUUAGUAACGGCGAGUGAAGCGGUAAAAGCUCAAAUUUGAAAUCUGGUACUUUCAGUGCCCGAGUUGUAAUUUGUAGAAUUUGUCUUUGAUUAGGUCCUUGUCUAUGUUCCUUGGAACAGGACGUCAUAGAGGGUGAGAAUCCCGUUUGGCGAGGAUACCUUUUCUCUGUAAGACUUUUUCGAAGAGUCGAGUUGUUUGGGAAUGCAGCUCAAAGUGGGUGGUAAAUUCCAUCUAAAGCUAAAUAUUGGCGAGAGACCGAUAGCGAACAAGUACAGUGAUGGAAAGAUGAAAAGAACUUUGAAAAGAGAGUGAAAAAGUACGUGAAAUUGUUGAAAGGGAAGGGCAUUUGAUCAGACAUGGUGUUUUUGCAUGCACUCGCCUCUCGUGGGCUUGGGCCUCUCAAAAAUUUCACUGGGCCAACAUCAAUUUUGGCGGCAGGAAAAUCUUUGGAAUGUAGCUACCUCGGUAGUGUUAUAGCCUUUUGAAAUACUGUCAGCUGGGAUUGA
rnacentral:rRNA from 1 species